rnacentral:rRNA from 1 species
CCUACGGGAGGCAGCAGUGAGGAAUAUUGGUCAAUGGGCGGAAGCCUGAACCAGCCAAGUAGCGUGCAGGAUGACGGCCCUAAGGGUUGUAAACUUCUUUUAUCCGGGAAUAAAAUGGCUCACGUGUAGGUCUUUGCAUGUACCGUAUGAAUAAGGACCGGCUAACUCCGUGCCAGCAGCCGCGGUAAUACGGAGGGUCCGGGCGUUAUCCGGAUUUAUUGGGUUUAAAGGGAGCGGCGGCCGAAUGUUAAGGGUGCUGUGAAAUGUCGGGGCCAAACCCGGGCCUAGCAGUUGGAACUGGCUGGCUUGAGUCGGCGAAAGGUAGGCGGAAUUCGUGGUGUAGCGGUGAAAUGCUUAGAUAGGACGAAGAACUCCGAUUGCGAAGGCAGCUUGCUGGAGCGGAACUGACGCUGAGGCUCGAAAGCGCGGGUAUCGAACAGGAUUAGAUACCCGUGUAGUC